rnacentral:tRNA from 1 species
GCGGGGGUGUCCGAGCCAGGCCAAAGGAGCAGGACUGAGGAUCCUGUGGUGUAGACCUGCGUGGGUUCGAAUCCCAUCCCCCGCACCA